rnacentral:rRNA from 1 species
UACGUAGGGGCUAGCGUUGUCCGGAAUCAUUGGGCGUAAAGAGCGUGUAGGCGGCCCGGUAAGUCCGCUGUGAAAGUCGGGGCUCAACCUCGAAUGCCGGUGGAUACUGUCGGGCUAGAGUGCGGAAGAGGCGAGUGGAAUUCCUGGUGUGAGCGGUGAAAUGACGCAGAUAUCAGGAGGAACACCGAUGGCGAAGGCAGAUCUCUGGGCCGUAACUGACGCUGAGGAGCGAAAGCAUGGGGAGCGAACAGG